AUUGAACGCUGGCGGCAGGCCUAACACAUGCAAGUCGAGCGGCCGGCGGGCGGGUGAGUAAUGUAUGGGGACUGCUCGAUAGAGGGGGAUACCUACAGGCAACGGUAACUACUACCACGUCCUAUCGGAUAACCCAUAUGGGAUUAGCUAGUAGGUGGGGUAAUGGCUCACCUAGGCGACGAUCCCUAGCUGGUCUGAGAGGAUGAUCAGCCACACUGGGACUGAGACACGGCCCAGACUCCUACGGAGGCAGCAGUGGGGAAUAUUGCACAAUGGGCGCAAGCCUGAUGCAGCCAUGCCGCGUGUAUGAAGAAGGCCUUAGGGUUGUAAAGUACUUUCAGUCGGGAGGCGUUACCGACAGAAGAAGCACCGGCUAACUCCGUGCCAGCAGCCGCGGUAAUAC
rnacentral:rRNA from 1 species